AUUGAACGCUGGCGGCAGGCCUAACACAUGCAAGUCGAGCGGGGUUUACGGACCUAGCGGCGGACGGGUGAGUAAUGCGUAGGAAGCUGCCCGAUAGAGGGGGAUACCAGUUGGAAACGACUGUUAAUACCGCAUAAUGUCUACGGACCAAAGUGUGGGACCUUCGGGCCACAUGCUAUCGGAUGCGCCUACGUGGGAUU
rnacentral:rRNA from 1 species